AACCAAUGCCCCAAGAUCGAGCACGUGAUCGCCGACGGCAAUUUCAGCAACCUGCUGUGCAGCAUGGAGGAGCAACCACCCUUCUGGCCAUGGGCAGAUCACAACAAUUUCCAUUAGUGUGUGGCACCAUGAAUUUAAUGAGAGUAUAUUCUCUACAGUUAGACUCUAUAUCAGUCUAUGAGCUUUGCAACUCCUUUUUGAGUCUAGCCAAUGUGUAAUGAAUAG
rnacentral:lncRNA from 1 species